rnacentral:rRNA from 1 species
UUCUAUGUUGGUAUCAUAAAAUAUAUGAAUUUCUGAUCUCGGAAGCUAAGCAGAAUUGGGCCUGGUUACUUGGAUGGGAGACCACCUAGGAAGAUCAGGUGCUGUAGGCG